CGAUUUAGUAAAAUGAUCUUUAGAGUUGAAGAUUUUGAUUAAAUUGAUUUUGGUUAUUGAAUUGUAAAUUCAAUGUUUCAGUUUUGUCUUUUCAGAGUAAAGGGUUACAAUAAUUGCUUACUAUGUGUAAUAAUUGUUACUUUCCUUUUAAAGGUAUUUGACAUGACAUUCGUGUAGCGGGUGAGGCUAUCACGAGAGGAAAUAUGGUCCUCUAGGCCAGAUUGCCAGGGGUUUUUUUUAUUUCUUUAUCUUUUGUUCCUGUACUUGGAAAUUUUGGAAUUUUGUAUAUAACGACUCAUCGAUAUUAAACGAACCGAAACACAAGAAAUGGUGUCGUGUGUCAUCUUCUACAUCAGUUUCCGCGUGUUACAAAGUGGCGCUGCGAGCAGGGUCGAUGUUCGUCGUUGGAUACAACCAUGUUCAAACCCUGACAAUCUGAGGAGCUCAUCCGUCUGUUGUACAUCUUGAAUUUGUAAAUAUGAACGUAGCUUUAAGAUGUAUUUGUGUGUGUGCAUGGUGUGAAUGUUGUAGCCAAAAUGUAGUUUGUUUGAAAGUAAUAUGAGGCUACAAUGUAUUUGAUAGGGAUUUAUACUAGUGGGAAGGUAUUUUAUGAGGUACCCUGUAAGAGUUUUCAGAUCAAAUGGCUUUGGUCAAGGGAAUACUUAGUACUGUUCAAGGUUAAUUUUGUGUUGUCAUGGUAAUGCUGUGUUUUGGAACAGUCCAUGCCCCCUUUCUUAUGUAAUUUUGGCUGGUUGGAUGGGAACCACACAUUGGGGUGUAGGAGGCCAGAGACACCAGUAUUUUAUAUGUUGAUAGGAGGAAGUACAGUAUGUGCAGAGUAAGCUCUGGGUUUGGCAAACAUGAUUAACUAAUGAAUAGUUGAGGCGUUUCUUUGUCUGAUACUUGAAGUUUGUUAACUCUUUAAUUUUUGUUUUGGGUCUUGAUUAAUAUUCGGUUUAAUUAAGCUAUGGCGUGAAUUAAUGUUAAUUGCUUUUCCAGAAUGUGUAUUUGAUAGUUUUAUAGGGCUACUUUGGAAAAAUUAGGGGAGCCCACAUGUUGAUGAAAGUGUUUUACUUUUAUGUGUCUGUGUGUUACAAUGGUUAUCAUAUUGUAAUAUGCUGAUCUUUCGGAUUUGUAACUGGGAUUUGGCUAGGAGUACUGCUAGGUUUAGUCAGGAUAAAGUAUCAAUGUUAAUUUCGAGAACCUCAAUCUGAGACCGGGAUUGCAUUAGAGGGAUACUGGAGUGACUAUUGGGGCA